rnacentral:rRNA from 1 species
UGGGGAAUCUUGGACAAUGGGCGCAAGCCUGAUCCAGCCAUGCCGCGUGGAUGAUGAAGGCCUUAGGGUUGUAAAAUCCUUUCGCCGAGGACGAUAAUGACGGUACUCGGAGAAGAAGCUCCGGCUAACUUCGUGCCAGCAGCCGCGGUAAUACAGAGGGUGCAAGCGUUAAUCGGAAUUACUGGGCGUAAAGCGCGCGUAGGUGGUUAGUUAAGUUGGAUGUGAAAUCCCCGGGCUCAACCUGGGAACUGCAUUCAAAACUGACAAGCUAGAGUAUGGUAGAGGGUGGUGGAAUUCCAUGUGUAGCAGUGAAAUGCGUAGAGAUAUGGAAGAACAUCGAUGGCGAAGGCAGCCCCCUGGGUUAACACUGACGCUCAUGCACGAAAGCGUGGGGAGCAAACAGGAUUAGAUACCCCAGUAGUCCCUGAGCGGGCUGGCAAGGCGCAU